GGGGGGGGGGGGGGGGGGGCGGGGCGGGGGGGGGGCGGGCGGGGGCGGGGCGUGGGGUGCUGGCGCGUGGCGGGCGGGGGGGUACUACGUCGGGACGGGCCCGCUCGCGGGGGAUACCGCGGCGACCGCUUUGCUCAUACCGCAUCCGGUCUACGGACGACCGCCGGGGCCCUCCGGCCCUCGCGCGGCCCGACCGGCCGAUGGCCGAUUAGGUCGUUGGUGGGCCAAACGCUUACCAAGCCGACGAUCUGUAGCUGGGCUGAGAGGAUGAUCAGCCACACUGGGACUGAGACACGGCCCAGACUCCUACGGGAGGCAGCAGUGGGGAAUUUUGGACAAAGGGCGAAAGCCUGAUCCAGCCAUGCCGCGUGCAGGAUGAAGGCCUUCGGGUUGUAAACUGCUUUUGUACGGAACGAAAAGCCUCUUUCUAAUAAAGAGGGGUCAUGACGGUACCGUAAGAAUAAGCACCGGCUAGCUACGUG
rnacentral:rRNA from 1 species